rfam:Equus caballus chromosome 20, whole genome shotgun sequence.
CUUAAGGCCCUUUUCAGGGCCACCUAUUUACUCACUUAAAAGAGC